GUGUGAAUUGCAGAAUCCCGUGAACCAUCGAGUCUUUGAACGCAAGUUGCGCCCGAAGCCAUUAGGCCGAGGGCACGUCUGCCUGGGCGUCA
rnacentral:rRNA from 2 species